CAGCAGCCGCGGUAAAACGUAGGGUGCGAGCGUUAAUCGGAAUUACUGGGCGUAAAGCGUGCGCAGGCGGUUAUAUAAGACAGAUGUGAAAUCCCCGGGCUCAACCUGGGACCUGCAUUUGUGACUGUAUAGCUAGAGUACGGUAGAGGGGGAUGGAAUUCCGCGUGUAGCAGUGAAAUGCGUAGAUAUGCGGAGGAACACCGAUGGCGAAGGCAAUCCCCUGGACCUGUACUGACGCUCAUGCACGAAAGCGUGGGGAGCAAACAGGAUUAGAUACCCCCGUAGUCCCUGUCUCUUAUAA
rnacentral:rRNA from 1 species